rnacentral:rRNA from 1 species
AGUCAUCAUGGCCCUUACGAGUAGGGCUACACACGUGCUACAAUGGCGUAUACAAAGAGAAGCGAACUUGCGAGAGUAAGCGGACCUCAUAAAGUACGUCGUAGUCCGGAUUGGAGUCUGCAACUCGACUCCAUGAAGUCGGAAUCGCUAGUAAUCGUAGAUCAGAAUGCUACGGUGAAUACGUUCCCGGGCCUUGUACACACCGCCCGUCACACCAUGGGAGUGGGUUGCAAAAGAAGUAGGUAGCUUAACCUUCGGGAGGGCGCUACC